GAUGAACGCUGGCGGCGUGCCUAAUACAUGCAAGUCGAGCGAACAGACGAGGAGCUUGCUCCUCUGACGUUAGCGGCGGACGGGUGAGUAACACGUGGAUAACCUACCUAUAAGACUGGGAUAACUUCGGGAAACCGGAGCUAAUACCGGAUAAUAUAUUGAACCGCAUGGUUCAAUAGUGAAAGACGGUUUUGCUGUCACUUAUAGAUGGAUCCGCGCUGCAUUAGCUGGUUGUUAAGGUAACGGGUUACCAAGGCAACGAUGCGUAGCCGAGCUGAGAGGGUGAUAGGCCACACUGGAACUGAGACACGGUCCAGACUCCUACGGGAGGCAGCAGUAGGGAAUCUUCCGCAAUGGGCGAAAGCCUGACGGAGCAACGCCGCGUGAGUGAUGAAGGUCUUCGGAUCGUAAAACUCUGUUAUUAGGGAAGAACAAAUGUGUAAGUAACUAUGCACGUCUUGACGGUACCUAAUCAGAAAGCCACGGCUAACUACGUG
rnacentral:rRNA from 1 species